rnacentral:rRNA from 1 species
UUUAAAUUGAGAGUUUGAUCCUGGCUCAGGACGAACGCUGGCGGCGUGCCUAACACAUGCAAGUCGAGCGAUGAAACCCCUUCGGGGGUGGAUUAGCGGCGGACGGGUGAGUAACACGUGGGUAACCUGCCUCAAAGUGGGGGAUAGCCUUCCGAAAGGAAGAUUAAUACCGCAUAAAGCCAAGUUUCACAUGGAAUUUGGAUGAAAGGAGUAAUUCGCUUUGAGAUGGACCCGCGGCGCAUUAGUUAGUUGGUGGGGUAAUGGCCUACCAAGACAGCGAUGCGUAGCCGACCUGAGAGGGUGAUCGGCCACAUUGGAACUGAGAUACGGUCCAGACUCCUACGGGAGGCAGCAGUGGGGAAUAUUGCACAAUGGGCGAAAGCCUGAUGCAGCAACGCCGCGUGAGUGAUGAAGGUCUUCGGAUUGUAAAGCUCUGUCUUUUGGGACGAUAAUGACGGUACCAAAGGAGGAAGCCACGGCUAACUACGUGCCAGCAGCCGCGGUAAUACGUAGGUGGCGAGCGUUGUCCGGAUUUACUGGGCGUAAAGGGUGCGUAGGCGGAUGUUUAAGUGAGAUGUGAAAUACCCGGGCUUAACUUGGGUGCUGCAUUUCAAACUGGAUAUCUAGAGUGCAGGAGAGGAGAAUGGAAUUCCUAGUGAGCGGUGAAAUGCGUAGAGAUUAGGAAGAACACCAGUGGCGAAGGCGAUUCUCUGGACUGUAACUGACGCUGAGGCACGAAAGCGUGGGUAGCAAACAGGAUUAGAUACCCUGGUAGUCCACGCCGUAAACGAUGAGUACUAGGUGUAGGAGGUAUCGACCCCUUCUGUGCCGCAGUAAACACAUUAAGUACUCCGCCUGGGAAGUACGAUCGCAAGAUUAAAACUCAAAGGAAUUGACGGGGGCCCGCACAAGCAGCGGAGCAUGUGGUUUAAUUCGAAGCAACGCGAAGAACCUUACCUGGACUUGACAUCCCCUGAAUAACCUAGAGAUAGGCGAAGCCCUUCGGGGCAGGGAGACAGGUGGUGCAUGGUUGUCGUCAGCUCGUGUCGUGAGAUGUUAGGUUAAGUCCUGCAACGAGCGCAACCCUUAUUGUUAGUUGCUAACAUUCAGUUGAGCACUCUAACGAGACUGCCGCGGUUAACGCGGAGGAAGGUGGGGAUGACGUCAAAUCAUCAUGCCCCUUAUGUCCAGGGCAACACACGUGCUACAAUGGGCAGAACAAAGAGAAGCAAUACCGCGAGGUGGAGCCAAACUCAAAAACUGCUCUCAGUUCGGAUUGCAGGCUGAAACUCGCCUGCAUGAAGCUGGAGUUGCUAGUAAUCGCGAAUCAGCAUGUCGCGGUGAAUACGUUCCCGGGCCUUGUACACACCGCCCGUCACACCAUGAGAGCUGGCAACACCCGAAGUCCGUAGUCUAACGUAAGAGGACACGGCCGAAGGUGGGGUUAGUGAUUGGGGUGAAGUCGUAACAAGGUAGCCGUAGGAGAACCUGCGGCUGGAUCACCUCCUUUCUA